CACGUAGGCAGACUGGAAAGUUGGGGGUGAAAUCCCAGGGCUCAACCCUGGAACUGCCUCCAAAACUAUCAGUCUAGAGUUCGAGAGAGGUGAGUGGAAUUCCGAGUGUAGAGGUGAAAUUCGUAGAUAUUCGGAGGAACACCAGUGGCGAAGGCGGCUCACUGGCUCGAUACUGACGCUGAGGUGCGAAAGUGUGGGGAGCAAACAGGAUUAGAUACCCUGGUAGUCC
rnacentral:rRNA from 1 species